ensembl:lncRNA
AUGAGGACAAUGAUACUGACCUUGCAGAAUACUGAAUGGAAGACCUUGUCUACGAGUCUACAGGAAAGGCCUUCUGGCCCCUUAGAGGGUGGAGACUCUCUCCUCCCGCUUCCUCAGAGAGCAAUACUCAUGGGCACAGCGACCAAGGGCCCCCAGGCCAUUGCGCCCCCUCCCCAGAGGUCAGAGAUGGGUUCCAAUAAGCAUCCUUCCUUCCCACCCAAGCCACUCUGUCUUGGGAAAAAAAGUGUCCGGGGCAGUGUCUGGAGAAGCUGGGCAGCAGAUGGACAAAGACAGCAUGUGCCCCAUAGGCAGGAAGCAGCCCCAGGAGUUGGGUUCAGAGCCCAGCACUGGCAACUCUGCCCGCUGCUGGAAGCUGGGGGCCAGGUGCCAGGGCUGGCUGGCACUACUAGCCCUCAGCCAAGGCUGGACAGGAGAGUGUGCCAACAUCCGGAGCCUCUCCUGGAGUACCUUCCACCUGGCCGGCUUGAUCCCAGCUCUUGCCUGUCUUUAAGUCUCCCCCCUACUGGGUAGAAGACAGCGAGAGAUCUGGAUUCUAAUUCUGACUCUGACAUUAAUUCGCAGGCCAGGUCCCUCUGAGUUCAGUUGUUCCAUAUGAUGACAGGGGUAAUACUCCCUACCCUGAGAAGCUGUUUGCAGAAUUAUUUGACUUUAAUAAGGCCACCCUGGUGGAGUGCAGUGGACAGCACAGAGCAAAGCUCUGCACAGCAAGGCUGGGCCUGCGGCCACGGUUACUGAGUCCAGCAGGGCCAGGGGAAGGCCCCGGCAGGAUCCUCACCCACACUUCCAGUGGGGUGGCUCCACCUGGGCCACACCCCAGACAAGGCCCUGCCUCUGAGCAGCCCAUUCUCGGCAGCGUCACAGGGAGGGCAGAUCCCAGGCCUCUGCCAAAUGCCCUGCCAGNNNNNNNNNNNNNNNNNNNNNNNNNNNNNNNNNNNNNNNNNNNNNNNNNNNNNNNNNNNNNNNNNNNNNNNNNNNNNNNNNNNNNNNNNNNNNNNNNNNAAUGCCCUGCCAGCCCCUCGGCCUGCCUCCCUCCCGGCCAGGAGCCUGUACCUGCAGGUCAGGGUGCUGUAUCACUUACGUGUCACCUGGGCUGAGAACAGCAAGGCCCUGUUCUCCAGUAAGAACCUGCACCCAACCCGCGCCCUGGCUGCCCCACAUGGCUCCUGUUACCCAAACAAUAACACCGAGUCGCCUGGCACUUCCAUGGAGUGGGGAGGAGGAAAACGGGCAGCACUCCUUAGGCCUCCGUACCCUCUCAGGCCCAGAAAGCAGAGGCCAGAACCCAGCCCUGGCCAGUGGAGAAACAGAGGUCCAGAGAGGCUAUGGACUGACUGAGGAUCACACAGCAAAUUCGAGGUGAAGCUCCUGGAGAAAUCACAGCCCCCCUAAACCAAGGAAAUAAGCCUGCCUUUUUUUCCUCUCAAAGUUCAGGUGCAGUAGGACUAAAACUGAAUUGAGUUUCCUGUUUAAACCUGGUCCCUGCCUCAGGAUUUCCCAGAGAAGCAGGAAGCAGUGCCCUGGACUGGGAAUUGAAUUUCUGGGUGUCUGCCUUCCCAACUAGUAUAACCCACAGUAAGUCCCUCCCUGGCCUCUCCCAGUCCACCUUCCUCUAGGGAGGCCUAGGUCUCAAGGGUGUGCCAGGACAAAGGAAUUUACCUCUGAGCACCGCCCCCAACCCCUUGUGCCCCAGUCCUAGAGGGUGGGCAGCCCGUGGCUAGGGGCUGCAGAGGGCCGUGUUCCUCAGUUCGGAGGGUGAGUCAGCGGGAGAACUUCUGAGCUGUGCAGGGCCUGUAAAAACCCCAUGGCAGGGAUCCCAGAGCAAUUUACUCCAAAUUGCGCCUUCAGGUUGGUUACCUAAUCUUGCCGCGCCCACCCUCCAAUAGCCAGUGUCAGCGGUGACCAUCCCUUUAAAGGGGCAGCACACUCCGGGUGCUGGGGACCCAGGAUCCUCACUCAGCUCCCAACCAGCGGCCCUGAGGGGCAAGGCACUUGGUGGUUGCCCCAGGUAAGAGAGGGCAGAGGAAGGGAUCUAAGUGGGGAGGGGUCCAAGCCCCAGCCAGAAGAAAAUCACUUUGGGUCUCAGGCUCUCUGAGGUUUCCAUCAUCUCCCUCAUAUCCCCACAUCCCCCCUGGAAAGGCAGUAUCACCUACUGUCCUUCCCAUAAUGAGGCUGAGGGGAAAGUUUUCUCCAUCUGCCAGUUCAAGGGCUUGACCUUGACCCUGGGGGGCACAGGAAGAGCGGGCCUUCUGCAAGGUUAGGGCCUAAACCACAGUAUCCUCAGGAGGCAAAAGUUGCUUUUGGGAGAAGAUAGGCAGGCAAAGGCCAAAUUCCCUAGAGGCCCAACCCUUCCUAUGGGAGGGGGCAGGAACCAAGGACCUCCUCAUCUCCAGGAAUAAUUUUCUCAAAGGUCUAAGGACUUUUCCCCAUUCUUUUCUCUCCAGCCUGGGAGAGGUGACACAGGCGUCCUCUGACCCUAGCCUGAAGCAAAGAAAACCAAGGGUUUCAGCCCCAGACGGGCAGAGUCACCCCAAAUUCCACAACUGCGACGAUCAAGAAGGGAAUCCUUCUAAGGUCAGCAGCGGAGACGCCGGGAGCUCUUGGGGUAGGGCCGCUGUGAGACAUCAAGAAGUUGGCAGGGGGCGCGGGGGAGGGGGGCUCCCAUGACCCUCGUCUCGUGGAAUCCAAGACAUCUGGCAUCCCAGCCCAGGUCCGUCUGCCCUAAUGAAGGAACCUCCGACGGCUCCGGGUACAGGUCCCAGGUGUGUAUGGGGUGAGGCGGGGGUCAGAUCUAAGCGCAGCACAG